UCGUAACGGCGAGCGAACCGGAAAGAGCCCAGCUUGAAAAUCGAGGUGCUUCGCACCUCGAAUUGUAGUCUGGAGAAGCGUCCUCUGCAGCGUGCCGGCCCCAAGUUCCCUGGAAUGGGAUGCCCAAGAGGGUGACAGCCCCGUCGAGGCCGGUUUUUUAUUGCUGCUCCACGAGGCGCGAUCUGCGAGUCGGGCUGUUUGGGAAUGCAGCCCUAAGUGGGAGGUAAAUUCCUUCUAAGGCUAAAUAUUGGCAAGAGACCGAUAGCGAACAAGUACCGCGAGGGAAAGAUGAAAAGGACUUUGAAAAGAGAGUUAAACAGCUGCUUGAAAUUGCUGGGAGGGAAGCGAAUGGAAGCUGCGGGUGUGCCCCGGUUGGAUGUGGAACGGCUUCGGCUGGUCUGCCGCUCAACGCGGGGCACUGGUCAGCGUGGGCUACUUCGGCGGGACAAGAGCAGGAUGUAAGUUUCCUGCCCCCCACUCCCGCCGAGGUGGCCGAGGAANNAAGCGUGCGGCCNCCUUCUUGGGGGGGUAGUGGGACUCGUCCCAACUGCACGCUCGGGACGCUGGCGUAUUGAGCUCUUCAUCCGACCCGUCUUGAAACACGGACCAAGGAGUCUAACAUGUAUGCAAGCAGGUGGGCGGCAAACCCAUUGAUGCGCAAGUAAACUGACAGGUGGGACCCCCGUAAAAAAGGGUGCACCAUCGACCGACCGUGAUCUUCUGUGAAAGGUUUGAGUGUGAGCAUACCUGUUGGGACCCGAAAGAUGGUGAACUAUGCCUGAGCAGGGCGAAGCCAGAGGAAACUCUGGUGGAGGCUCGUAGCGAUACUGACGUGCAAAUCGUUCGUCAGACUUGGGUAUAGGGGCGAAAGACUAAUCGAACCAUCUAGUAGCUGGUUCCCUCCGAAGUUUCCCUCAGGAUAGCUGGAGCUCGUGUAAGAGUUUUAUCAGGUAAAGCGAAUGAUUAGAGGCAUCGGGGGUGUAACACCCUCGACCCUAUUCUCAAACUUUAAAUAGG
rnacentral:rRNA from 2 species